UGGGGAAUAUUGCACAAUGGGGGAAACCCUGAUGCAGCGACGCCGCGUGAACGAAGAAGGUAUUCGUAUCGUAAAGUUCUGUCCUAUGGGAAGAUAAUGACAGCACCAUAGAAGAAAGCUCCGGCUAAAUACGUGCCAGCAGCCGCGGUAAUACGUAUGGAGCGAGCGUUGUCCGGAAUUAUUGGGCGUAAAGGGUACGCAGGCGGUUUAAUAAGUCGAAUGUUAAAGAUCGGGGCUCAACCCCGCAAAGCAUUGGAAACUGAUAAACUUGAGUAGUGGAGAGGAAAGUGGAAUUCCUAGUGUAGUGGUGAAAUACGUAGAUAUUAGGAGGAAUACCAGUAGCGAAGGCGACUUUCUGGACACAAACUGACGCUGAGGUACGAAAGCGUGGGGAGCAAACAGG
rnacentral:rRNA from 1 species